GGCGGGGCCUGCGGCGGGCUCUCGCACGUGGGGCGCGGCGAGGACCGCCCCCGCGGGGACUCCGCCUCCCGGCGGCGCGGGGCGGCACCUCGGCUGGCUACCUGCGGCGUUCCCCGCGGCCUCCGGCUCUCCGCUUCUCUGGAAAUAGCUCAGCUCAGGAGUCAGCGAAGCAGUUCCUAUGGUACCCGCAAAUGUAAGCCCCAUUUAGGGGCUUCCUCUGGGCAGCAGCUACAAAAACUGGGGCAUCAGACAUGUGGACGAGCUCCUUUCUGGGAGAUACUGAUGACCUGGAGUGAGGCAAAGGGAGAACAGGAAGAUGCACCUACCAGCCUCCAAUUUCUGGACUGUAUUAAAUUAGAAGCCUGCCCCUCAAGCCAAAGUUUUUAAGAACUAGAACAAAUAAUUCUAAAAUUUGUAUGGAACCAAAGAAGACCCUGACCAGCAAAAACAAUCCUGAUAAAGAAGAACAAAGCCGAAGGCUAUUUUCUGGGGAAUGUUUUUCUGAAACACAAAAACAGAAUUACCAGAAAAACUGUCCUGAACAGGGCGCCUGGGUGGCUCCGUUGGUUAAGCGACUGCCUUCGGCUCAGGUCAUGAUCCUGGAGUCCCAGAUCCAGUCCCGCAUCGGGCUCCCUGCUCGGCAGGGAGUCUGCUUCUCCCUCUGACCCUCCUCCCUCUCAUGCUCUCUGUCUCUCAUUCUCUUUCUCGCAAAUAAAUAAAAUCUUAAAAAAAAAAAAAAUUAAAAAAAAAAAAACUGUCCUGAACAGACAUGUUACCAGAGAAGAGGUGACAUAACUGCUCUUUAAUAAGUUUGAGGUAAGUACAUUUUAAGUACUAAGCAGCAGAAAUCAUGUUAAAAAUAAAUGCUUGCGGGCGCCUGGGUGGCUCAGUCGGUUAAGCGACUGCCUUCGGCUCAGGUCAUGAUCCUGGAGUCCCGGGAUCGAGUCCCACAUCGGGCUC